rnacentral:rRNA from 1 species
GAUGAACGCUGGCGGCGUGCCUAAUACAUGCAAGUCGAGCGAACGGACGAGAAGCUUGCUUCUCUGAUGUUAGCGGCGGACGGGUGAGUAACACGUGGAUAACCUACCUAUAAGACUGGGAUAACUUCGGGAAACCGGGGCUAAUACCGGAUAAUAUUUUGAACCGCAUGGUUCAAAAGUGAAAGACGGUCUUGCUGUCACUUAUAGAUGGAUCCGCGCUGCAUUAGCUAGUUGGUAAGGUAACGGCUUACCAAGGCAACGAUGCAUAGCAGACCUGAGAGGGUGAUCGGCCACACUGGAACUGAGACACGGUCCAGACUCCUACGGGAGGCAGCAGUAGGGAAUCUUCCGCAAUGGGCGAAAGCCUGACGGAGCAACGCCGCGUGAGUGAUGAAGGUCUUCGGAUCGUAAAACUCUGUUAUUAGGGAAGAACAUAUGUGUAAGUAACUGUGCACAUCUUGACGGUACCUAAUCAGAAAGCCACGGCUAACUACGUG